UAGAAGAAAGGUCAUGUGCCGUAUGCUUUU
rnacentral:piRNA from 1 species